rnacentral:lncRNA from 1 species
UCCUUGUCUUCAGAGAACCCCCUCCUGAGCACAGCGCCCCUCCAAGAGAUUGUUCUAGGAAACUACUGUGCUGGUUGGCCGUCCUUCUAAACGUGCAUGUAGUCAGAUCAUUUCUCAGGAACAUGCAUUCAAAGUGCCUCCUCUUCUGUAGAAUUUGGAGGUCUGUGCACAAUACAGGCUCCCUGCAGGACCCCCAGGGGCUCCCUCAAAUUCCUACGGUCUCCACCCUUCUUCAUCUGCCCAAACACCAAGAGUGAACCCCAACAGAAGCUGUGGACACCCUGUGAUGUCACAGUGUGUGCCCUUGGAGGCUCAUCCACUGUAACAUUUUGAAACUUUCAAUUUGACAAAUCACAUCUAUAUUUAAUUAAUAUGAAACAAAAAAACUAGUUGAUUUAAUAUUUUUUCAUUCAGCACCACACAAAUCCUCAGAGAGAAAAACCUUAUAGGAAACACGACCUUUCCAUAACAUGCACAUUCAUCUUCUUCCUUUCAAAAUUGUCAAUUAUCCCAGUUGCUUAGUUCCCAGCAUCUUUAAAGAGAAUGAAUUAUUUAUGCAGGUGGUUGCUGAAAAUGAAACACCAUUCAAAGUUGAAAUUAAAGAAUUGUAAGAGCUUGUCCCUGGUGCUUGUAACUCACUUCUUGCUUUGGGUUCUGACGCAAUUUUCAUAUUCUAUAGCGUAGCUGAUUGAAUGUGUAAACACCUAUGUCGAUGAUCUUAACAAAAAUCACGGCAAGGGGAGCUGUAAGUCCUGCACUUUC